UACGUAGGGGGCAAGCGUUGUCCGGAUUUAUUGGGCGUAAAGCGCUCGCAGGUGGUUCAUUGCGUCGUGCGUGAAAGACCCCGGCUCAACUGGGGAGGGUCGUGCGAAACGGGUGAACUAGAGGCCAGUAGGGGGAUGUGGAAUUCGUAGAUAUUGGGAAGAACACCGGUGGCGAAGGCGGCGACCUGGUCUUUUACUGACGCUGAGGCGCGAAAGCGUGGGGAGCAAACAGG
rnacentral:rRNA from 1 species